rnacentral:rRNA from 1 species
UACGGGGGGGGCAAGCGUUGUUCGGAAUUACUGGGCGUAAAGGGCGCGUAGGCGGUUCGAUAAGUCAGCUGUGAAAACCAUGGGCUUAACUCAUGGCCUGCAGUUGAGACUGUCGGGCUGGAGUGUGGGAGAGGAGAGUGGAAUUCCUGGUGUAGCGGUGAAAUGCGUAGAUAUCGAGAAGAACACCGGUGGCGAAGGCGGCCAUCUGGACAGAUACUGACGCUGAGACGCGAAAGCGUGGGGAGCAAACAGG